rnacentral:rRNA from 1 species
UACGGAGGGUGCAAGCGUUGUUCGGAAUCACUGGGCGUAAAGGGCGUGUAGGCGGCCCGCUAAGUCUGAUGUGAAAGCCCGGGGCUCACCCCCGGAAGGGCAUUGGAAACUGGCGGACUCGAGUCCCGGAGAGGAGGGUGGAACUCCCGGUGUAGCGGUGGAAUGCGUAGAGAUCGGGAAGAACACCAGUGGCGAAGGCGACGUGCUGGGUUGCACCUGACGCUGAUGCGCGAAAGCCAGGGGAGCGAACGGG